UACAGAGGUCUCAAGCGUUGUUCGGAUUCAUUGGCGUAAAGGGUGCGUAGGCGGCGCGGUAAGUCGGGUGUGAAAUCUCGGAGCUUAACUCCGAAACUGCAUUCGAUACUGCCGUGCUUGAGGACUGGAGAGGAGACUGGAAUUUACGGUGUAGCGGUGAAAUGCGUAGAUAUCGUAAGGAAGACCGAGUGGCGAAGGCGGGUCGUCUGG
rnacentral:rRNA from 1 species